UUAAGUUAAUAAGGGCGCACGGUGGAUGCCUUGGCACUAGGAGCCGACGAAGGACGUGACAAACGACGAUAUGCCUUGGGUAGCUGUAAGUAAGCGAUGAUCCAGGGAUUUCCGAAUGGGGGAACCCAACAGGUAAUACCUGUUACCCACAUCUGUUAAGGAUGUGAGGAGGAAGACGCAGUGAACUGAAACAUCUAAGUAGCUGCAGGAAGAGAAAGCAAAAGCGAUUGCCUUAGUAGCGGCGAGCGAAACGGCAGGAGGGCAAACCGAAGAGUUUACUCUUCGGGGUUGUAGGACUGCAAUGUGGACUCAAAGAUUAUAGAAGAAUGAUUUGGGAAGAUCAGCCAAAGAGAGUAAUAGCCUCGUAUUUAAAAUAGUCUUUGUACUUAGCAGUAUCCUGAGUACGGCGGGACACGUGAAAUCCCGUCGGAAUCUGGGAGGACCAUCUCCCAACCCUAAAUACUCCCUAGUGACCGAUAGUGAACCAGUACCGUGAGGGAAAGGUGAAAAGCACCCCGGGAGGGGAGUGAAAUAGAACCUGAAACCGUGUGCCUACAACAAGUUCGAGCCCGUUAAUGGGUGAGAGCGUGCCUUUUGUAGAAUGAACCGGCGAGUUACGUUAUGAUGCGAGGUUAAGUUGAAGAGACGGAGCCGUAGGGAAACCGAGUCUGAAUAGGGCGCCUUAGUAUCAUGACGUAGACCCGAAACCAUGUGACCUACCCAUGAGCAGGUUGAAGGUGCGGUAAGACGCACUGGAGGACCGAACCAGGGCACGUUGAAAAGUGCUUGGAUGACUUGUGGGUAGCGGAGAAAUUCCAAACGAACUUGGAGAUAGCUGGUUCUCUCCGAAAUAGCUUUAGGGCUAGCGUCGACAUUAGAGAUUCUUGGAGGUAGAGCACUGUUUGGGUGAGGGGUCCAUCCCGGAUUACCAAUCUCAGAUAAACUCCGAAUGCCAAUGAAUUAUGGUCGGCAGUCAGACUGCGAGUGCUAAGAUCCGUAGUCGAAAGGGAAACAGCCCAGACCACCAGCUAAGGUCCCAAAAUAAUUGUUAAGUGGAAAAGGAUGUGGGGUUGCACAGACAACUAGGAUGUUAGCUUAGAAGCAGCUAUUCAUUCAAAGAGUGCGUAAUAGCUCACUAGUCGAGUGACCCUGCGCCGAAAAUGUACCGGGGCUAAAACAAUUUACCGAAGCUGUGGAUACCUUUAUAGGUAUGGUAGGAGAGCGUUCUAUGUGUGANNNNNNNNNNNNNNNNNNNNNNNNNNNNNNNNNNNNNNNNNNNNNNNNNNNNNNNNNNNNNNNNNNNNNNNNNNNNNNNNNNNNNNNNNNNNNNNNNNNNNNNNNNNNNNNNNNNNNNNNNNNNNNNNNNNNNNUUCUAUAACAUUGAGCUGUGAUGGGGAGCGAAGUUUAGUAGCGAAGUUAGUGACGUCACACUGCCAAGAAAAGCUUCUAGCGUUUAAACAUACUCUACCCGUACCGCAAACCGACACAGGUAGUCGAGGCGAGUAGCCUCAGGUGAGCGAGAGAACUCUCGUUAAGGAACUCGGCAAAAUGACCCCGUAACUUCGGGAGAAGGGGUGCUGACUUUAAGUCAGCCGCAGUGAAUAGGCCCAAGCAACUGUUUAUCAAAAACACAGCUCUCUGCUAAAUCGUAAGAUGAUGUAUAGGGGGUGACGCCUGCCCGGUGCUGGAAGGUUAAGAGGAGUGCUUAGCGUAAGCGAAGGUAUGAAUUGAAGCCCCAGUAAACGGCGGCCGUAACUAUAACGGUCCUAAGGUAGCGAAAUUCCUUGUCGGGUAAGUUCCGACCCGCACGAAAGGCGUAAUGAUUUGGGCACUGUCUCAACGAGAGACUCGGUGAAAUUUUAGUACCUGUGAAGAUGCAGGUUACCCGCGACAGGACGGAAAGACCCCAUGGAGCUUUACUGCAGUUUGAUAUUGAGUGUCUGUACCACAUGUACAGGAUAGGUAGGAGUCUAAGAGAUCGGGACGCCAGUUUCGAAGGAGACGCUGUUGGGAUACUACCCUUGUGUUAUGGCCACUCUAACCCAGAUAGGUGAUCCCUAUCGGAGACAGUGUCUGACGGGCAGUUUGACUGGGGCGGUCGCCUCCUAAAAGGUAACGGAGGCGCCCAAAGGUUCCCUCAGAAUGGUUGGAAAUCAUUCGCAGAGUGUAAAGGUAUAAGGGAGCUUGACUGCGAGAGCUACAACUCGAGCAGGGACGAAAGUCGGGCUUAGUGAUCCGGUGGUUCCGUAUGGAAGGGCCAUCGCUCAACGGAUAAAAGCUACCCUGGGGAUAACAGGCUUAUCUCCCCCAAGAGUUCACAUCGACGGGGAGGUUUGGCACCUCGAUGUCGGCUCGUCGCAUCCUGGGGCUGUAGUCGGUCCCAAGGGUUGGGCUGUUCGCCCAUUAAAGCGGCACGCGAGCUGGGUUCAGAACGUCGUGAGACAGUUCGGUCCCUAUCCGUCGCGGGCGUAGGAAAUUUGAGAGGAUCUGCUCCUAGUACGAGAGGACCAGAGUGGACUUACCGCUGGUGUACCAGUUGUCUUGCCAAAGGCAUCGCUGGGUAGCUAUGUAGGGAAGGGAUAAACGCUGAAAGCAUCUAAGUGUGAAACCCACCUCAAGAUGAGAUUUCCCAUGAUUAUAUAUCAGUAAGAGCCCUGAGAGAUGAUCAGGUAGAUAGGUUAGAAGUGGAAGUGUGGCGACACAUGUAGCGGACUAAUACUAAUAGCUCGAGGACUUAUCCAA
rnacentral:rRNA from 1 species